AUUUCCCUCUUUCUUCCGGCCUAACACAUGCAAGUCGAGCGGAUGAAGGGAGCUUGCUCCUGGAUUCAGCGGCGGACGGGUGAGUAAUGCCUAGGAAUCUGCCUGGUAGUGGGGGAUAACGUCCGGAAACGGGCGCUAAUACCGCAUACGUCCUGAGGGAGAAAGUGGGGGAUCUUCGGACCUCACGCUAUCAGAUGAGCCUAGGUCGGAUUAGCUAGUUGGUGGGGUAAAGGCCUACCAAGGCGACGAUCCGUAACUGGUCUGAGAGGAUGAUCAGUCACACUGGAACUGAGACACGGUCCAGACUCCGACGGGAGGCAGCAGUGGGGAAUAUUGGACAAUGGGCGAAAGCCUGAUCCAGCCAUGCCGCGUGUGUGAAGAAGGUCUUCGGAUUGUAAAGCACUUUAAGUUGGGAGGAAGGGCAGUAAGUUAAUACCUUGCUGUUUUGACGUUACCAACAGAAUAAGCACCGGCUAACUUCGUG
rnacentral:rRNA from 1 species